CCGUCGCGUUCAUACGUCGGCUUUUGCAUCCCCCGCGUUUCUCUCAUUCUCUCGUUGUCGUCGUCGCCGUUAUCGUCGUUAUUCUCAUCGCGAGUGUGUGCUUUUCUUAGAGUGCUUCGAAUAUAUAUAUAUAUAUAUACACAUAGCAUUCAAUUUCAAAUGCUACUGAACUGAAUGGAGACAUUCGUUUCCUUUCCACGGAAAAGCAUCAAUCACUUCCGCUAAUCCAUUCUUGAAUUUUGUCGUAUUCAUCUUCUUCUUAAACGAAAAUUCUCUUGUGAUUGGGCCAAAAAAGCGCGGCAUCGAUGCGUACGAACGUUAAACAGAGAAAGAAGUAUGGAUAAAGGGAAGACGGCAGACGAUUGGAUUUAUCGAUGCAGUCGACUUGAUGUAGGCUGGAAAAGUGCGAAGAGACGUUUUCUUCUUCAGCUGUUCGAUUAUUGAAUGUGUACAUGCUUUGCCGACGACGACAAUACAACAAGCAAGUUUGCGACGACCCGCUUUCUGCGUGAUUGCGUCUUAUUUUUAUAUCAACACGAUAUUCAGCCACUUCCGCAUCCUCCACACCCACGUGGCCGCAUCAUUACCUGAUAAGAGCUGGAGAAGCGGCCGCAGCCGCAGCUGCCUCGGAGCUCUGAGGAGCUGGAGGAUUUGCAAAAGCUGCUGCACUUCCCCGAGGAGGUGGCGCUCAGGUUGGCGGAGACUGAGUACCACUUAUUCUAUCAGGUACCA